GCGCUGAAAACACCGGUUCUCGUUCGAUCACCGAAGUUAAGCCUCGUAGAGCCAGGUCUUAACUUAGAUGGGGAAACCGCUUGGGAACACCGU